CGGCAGCGGCGGCGGCGCCUUUGGGGAGAGAGUCCUCUGCCCGGGAGGGUGUGCGUGGGUGCCAUCCUCCACGCCUCCUGCGUCCUGGGCCAGGUGAUCAGCCUCACCGCACCUGUUUGUAUCAGCAGCUAUGCUGGUGAUGUCACUCUUGACCCUUGGAACUGACCUAAGGAAGCCGAGUGCCGCGACUCACACUUGCUGUUCCUUCCUGACCGCUGGCGAACCCUGGACUUUCACACACCAGCCCUGGAGCUCCCCCUCCCCCUUGGGGUCACUUGCAAAUUUCACAAGCAUGGACUUCAUCUAAGUGAGUGAUGAAACUCUGAACAGGACAGACCGCAGAGCAGGGAGAGCCCCAGCUUCCUCCUGGACACUUCUCUCCCCAGCUGGGUCUCGAGUCUUUGAUCUCUCCCGACGUGAUCAUUGUGCACUUCGUUUCCACACCUUGAGCAGGAAGGUAUCCGAUCUUUUUAAAGUCACACAAUCUAUUUAAGAACAUCUUUGGAAGAGAGAAGAGGGGGCAGAACAGAUGUUAAACGUACACAGUGAUUGUAGGUUGCAGCCAAAUGUAUGAAUGAUUAAAAUAUGCAAAAGAAUGCAUCUCAGAAACACAACAAUAAUAAUAACGCCCAGCCCUUAUAGCACAUUCACUAUGGGAGGCCCUGUGCUGGGGCCCUGGAGCAUCUCAAUGUGAACUUCCCAGGGAGGUUGAUUUUAUUUUUUUUAAUUUUUAUAUUUUAAAUUAAAAAAAUUUUUAUUGGAGUAUAGUUGA